CAAAGAGAUUCUGGACGUCGCGGAUCGUCAGGAUGCUGACGUGCGUCGUACCGCCAACGGGCGCAUACAAGAAACCAUUAACGUCAACUUGCGUGCCUGAAAAAAAUAACAAAACGCCUUGAACGUUUUGAAGUGAUGUACGGAGUUUAAGAGCAAUGAAGUUACCGAUUUAUCUGGAUUAUUC
rnacentral:sRNA from 1 species